AUUGAACGCUGGCGGCAUGCUUUACACAUGCAAGUCGAACGGUAACAGGGAGCUUGCUCCGCUGACGAGUGGCGAACGGGUGAGUAAUGCGUCGGAACGUGCCGAGUAGUGGGGGAUAACGCAGCGAAAGUUGUGCUAAUACCGCAUACGUACUGAGGUAGAAAGUGGGGGACCUUCGGGCCUCACGCUAUUCGAGCGGCCGACGUCUGAUUAGCUAGUAGGUGAGGUAAAGGCUCACCUAGGCGACGAUCAGUAGCGGGUCUGAGAGGACGAUCCGCCACACUGGGACUGAGACACGGCCCAGACUCCUACGGGAGGCAGCAGGGGGGAAUUUUGGACAAUGGGCGAAAGCCUGAUCCAGCCAUGCCGCGUGUCUGAAGAAGGCCUUCGGGUUGUAAAGGACUUUUGUCGGGGAGGAAAUCCCCAGCGCUAAUACCGCUGGGGGAUGACAGUACCUGAAGAAUAAGCACCGGCUAACUACGUGCCAGCCGCCGCCGUAACAC
rnacentral:rRNA from 1 species